rnacentral:rRNA from 1 species
AACGAACGCUGGCGGCAUGCCUAACACAUGCAAGUCGAACGAAGCCUUCGGGCUUAGUGGCGCACGGGUGCGUAACGCGUGGGAAUCUGCCCUUGGGUUCGGAAUAACAGUUAGAAAUGACUGCUAAUACCGAAUGAUGUCUUCGGACCAAAGAUUUAUCGCCCAAGGAUGAGCCCGCGUCGGAUUAGCUAGUUGGUGAGGUAAAGGCUCACCAAGGCGACGAUCCGUAGCUGGUCUGAGAGGAUGAUCAGCCACACUGGGACUGAGACACGGCCCAGACUCCUACGGGAGGCAGCAGUGGGAAAUAUUGGACAAUGGGCGAAAGCCUGAUCCAGCAAUGCCGCGUGAGUGAUGAAGGCCUUAGGGUUGUAAAGCUCUUUUACCCGGGAUGAUAAUGACAGUACCGGGAGAAUAAGCUCGGCUAACUUCGUGCCAGCAGCCGCGGUAAU